AUGCACGCUGGCGGCGUGCCUCAUACAUGCAAGUCGAGCGCACAGACGAGGAGCUUGCUCCUCUGACGUUAGCGGCGGACGGGUGAGUAACACGUGGAUAACCUACCUAUAAGACUGGGAUAACUUCGGGAAACCGGAGCUAAUACCGGAUAAUAUAUUGAACCGCAUGGUUCAAUAGUGAAAGACGGUUUUGCUGUCACUUAUAGAUGGAUCCGCGCCGCAUUAGCUAGCUGGUAAGGUAACGGCUUACCAAGGCAACGAUGCGUAGCCGACCUGAGAGGGUGAUCGGCCACACUGGAACUGAGACACGGUCCAGACUCCUACGGGAGGCAGCAGUAGGGAAUCUUCCGCAAUGGGCGAAAGCCUGACGGAGCAACGCCGCGUGAGUGAUGAAGGUCUUCGGAUCGUAAAACUCUGUUAUUAGGGAAGAACAAAUGUGUAAGUAACUAUGCACGUCUUGACGGUACCUAAUCAGAAAGCCACGGCUAACUACGUG
rnacentral:rRNA from 1 species